rnacentral:rRNA from 1 species
GAUGAACGCUAGCGGGAGGCCUAACACAUGCAAGCCGAGCGGGAUUUGAGACUAGCUUGCUAGUCUUAAUGAGAGCGGCGUACGGGUGCGGCACACGUGUGCAACCUGCCUUUAUCUGGGAGAUAGCCGUUCGAAAGGAAGAUUAAUAUCCCAUAAUAUAAUGAUUGGCAUCAAUUAUUAUUGAAAGACCCGGCGGAUAGAGAUGGGCACGCGCAAGAUUAGAUAGUUGGUGAGGUAACGGCUCACCAAGUCGAUGAUCUUUAGGGGGCCUGAGAGGGUGAUCCCCCACACUAGUACUGAGACACGGACCAGACUCCUACGGGAGGCAGCAGUGAGGAAUAUUGGACAAUGGGUGAAAGCCUGAUCCAGCCAUCCCGCGUGAAGGAUUAAGGACCUAUGGUUUGUAAACUUCUUUUCUACAGGGAUAAACCUACUCUCGUGAGAGUAGCUGAAGGUACUGUAGGAAUAAGCACCGGCUAACUCCGUGCCAGCCGCCGCUGUAAGAC